rnacentral:lncRNA from 1 species
UAUCACUCAACUAGAUUGUAAUAAAAAUGACACAGAUAAAAAUGAGUUAAGUCAUGAUAGCAGUGAUAACAUUAAAGAUAUCAUAAUAAAUAAAAGUAAAGAAAAAGUAAUAGAACAAAGUGUGGUACCUUUAAAUAUGGACUGGAUAAAAGUCAUGAAUUUAAUACAUGCUAGUAAAGAUGUAGAUGCAACUACUUUAGCUUUUAAUGCAGCAGUUUCGGCGAUUGAAAAAAAAGGAUGUCUAACAACAAUGUUAGAAAUAUUUGAAAUAAUGAAAAAGAAAAAUAUAAAACCAGAUUUAGUUUCGUAUAAAUUAUUAUUAAGUUUAUGUGAUAAAUAUCAUUUAGCAGAUCAUGCUGAAAUAAUAUUUAAUGAUAUGGUUGAACAAGAUAAGAUAUUACCAAACUAUGAAAUCUAUUCUAUUAUGAUUAGUUGUUUUUCUAAAGUCGGUAAUGGCCACAAAGCUAUCGAAUUUUUUGAAAAACUUCGAAAUGACCCGUUUGUUGAAAAUAUAAAAAAUUUCAAAAUAAAUAAUGAACAAACAAAAUUAGAAAAGUGGAAAAAUAUUUUUUCAAAAGAAAAUUUAAGUCAAAACGAUAAGGACAAUAAAAAUGAACAAACUGAGUAUAAAGAAAAGUUUAAAGAAAUUACAAAUAAAAUAAAAAAUAUGCAACAGGGGAAUAGUCGAAUUCAGUAUGGUGAAUAUGCAAAUGUUAUUUUUGCUUGCAACAUGGCUAAUUUACAUGAACAAGGAAUAAAAUAUGUUGACGAGUUGUUAAAUGGAGCAACUAACGGUAGUGACAGUAGUGAAAAUAAAUAUAUGCCUUCCGUUUUCAUUUUCGAAAAUAUAUUUGAAUUGCUAGCGAAAAAUGGGAAUUAUAAAAAAUGUUUAGAGUACUACACAAAACUAAAAGAAGAUCCUAAUUUUAAACACUAUAUCAAUACAAACAUAUUAAAUAACAUUUUAAAAGCUUUAAGUAUAUAUAACAAAAUUAAUAUAAUUGAAGAUAUAUGGCAACAACAAUUUGACGAUUUAUUUGUAGUUCCUAAUUCUUUAUCUUAUCAAAUUAUGUUAUCUGUUUAUAGCAACACUGAUGAUUAUGAGAAAGCUUUUAAAUUGUUUAAAGAAAUGCAACUAAAAAAGUGUUUAAAUAAAAACAACAUCUUACCUUUUAUAUACACAAUUAAUGUUUUUAAAAAUUGUGGUAUAUUUAAUUAUGCUAUUUAUGUUUUAAGAGUGGGUAUACAUAUAGGAAUUGUUGGACAAGAGUUAGUAAUGUUAUAUCAACAUACGAUGAUAACUUGUGUAAAUGCAAAACAAUAUGAAAUGAUACUUUCGUUAUACACAGAAUUAAUAACUAUGCAGGAAAAAAAUACAGCUAUAAAAAUAAAUAUUGCCAUACUUAGUUUUGUUCUUUUAGCGUUU